GUCAAUAGUGCCGGGACCCCCUCCCACAGUAAGUAGUCAAACCGUUUAAGAACAGUUUGACAACUUACCUGAGAUCUGCUGGGAAUGGGGCUGUAGUAGGGCAUAGGAGCAGUGGUGUGUGUGAGUGGUGCAAUGUGUAAGGGGUGCAGUGUGUGUGUGUGAAGGUUGUAGUGUGUGAGUGAGGGUGACAGUGUAUGUCAG